rnacentral:rRNA from 1 species
CAAUAGCGUAUAUUAAAGUUGUUGCAGUUAAAAAGCUCGAAGUUGGAUUUCUGGUGGGAGCGAUCGGUCUGGCGCUUAGCGCGAGUACUUGCAUCGUCUCCGGCCAUCCUUGGGGAGAGUCUGUCUGGCAUUAGGUUGUCGGGCAGAGGAUCCUCAUCGUUUACUGUGAAAAAAUUAGAGUGUUCAAAGCAGGCUUAUGCCGUUGAAUAUAUUAGCAUGGAAUAAUAAGAUAGGACUUUGGUACUAUUUUGUUGGUUUGCGCACCAAAGUAAUGAUUAAUAGGGACAGUUGGGGGUAUUCGUAUUCCGUUGUCAGAGGUGAAAUUCUUGGAUUUACGGAAGACGAACUACUGCGAAAGCAUUUACCAAGGAUGUUUUCAUUAA